rnacentral:miRNA from 1 species
UCACACACACACACACACACACACACACACACACACACACACUCCUUCCCUGACAAUGCCUACCUCACAAUCCCACACUCACGUUUUUCAGCAAACACACUUUGGCAAAGGUUGGUGUAAGUCAAGUAGUUGUUUUUCUUGAGCUUCUUUCCUUAACCAAAGCGGAUUUGUGUGUGUGUGUGUGUGUGUGUGUGUGUGUGUGG